rnacentral:rRNA from 1 species
CAGUCGCCACGGUAAUACGAAGGGUGCAAGCGUUACUCGGAAUUACUGGGCGUAAAGCGUGCGUAGGUGGUGGUUUAAGUCCGUUGUGAAAGCCCUGGGCUCAACCUGGGAAUUGCAGUGGAUACUGGGUCACUAGAGUGUGGUAGAGGAUAGUGGAAUUUCCGGUGUAGCAGUGAAAUGCGUAGAGAUCGGAAGGAACAUCUGUGGCGAAGGCGGCCAUCUGGGACAACACUGACGCUGAGGCACGAAAGCGUGGGGAGCAAACAGGAUUAGAGACCCGUGUAGUCCCUGUCUCUUAUAC